CAGUAGCCGCGGGAAUACGUAGGUCCCGAGCGUUGUCCGGAUUUAUUGGGCGUAAAGCGAGCGCAGGCGGUUAGAUAAGUCUGAAGUUAAAGGCUGUGGCUUAACCAUAGUACGCUUUGGAAACUGUUUAACUUGAGUGCAGGAGGGGAGAGUGGAAUUCCAUGUGUAGCGGUGAAAUGCGUAGAUAUAUGGAGGAACACCGGUGGCGAAAGCGGCUCUCUGGCUUGUAACUGACGCUGAGGCUUGAAAGCGUGGGGAGCAAACAGGAUUAGAUACCCGGGUAGUCCCUGUCUCUUAUACA
rnacentral:rRNA from 1 species